GUUUUUAUAGUUUAAUUAGAAUAUAGUAUUGAAGCUACUAAGGAAAUAUUUUAUUUAAUAACA
rnacentral:tRNA from 1 species